rnacentral:rRNA from 1 species
UUCUGUUUGAUCCUGGCGGAGGCUACUGCUAUUGGGAUUCGAUUAAGCCAUGCAAGUUGAAUGAAUUUAGAUUCAUGGCGUACGGCUCAGUAACACGUGGAUAACUUACCCUUAGGACUGGGAUAACUCUGGGAAACUGGGGAUAAUACCGGAUAUUAGGCUAUGUCUGCAAUGGUUUGCCUUUGAAAUGUUUUUUUUUUCGCCUAAGGAUAGAUCUGCGGCUGAUUAGGUCGUUGGUGGGGUAAUGGCCCACCAAGCCGAUGAUCGGUACGGGUUGUGAGAGCAAGGGCCCGAAGAUGGAACCUGAGACAAGGUUCCAGACCCUACGGGGUGCAGCAGGCGCGAAACCUCCGCAAUGUACGAAAGUGCGACGGGGGGAUCCCAAGUGUUAUGCUUAAAGGUAUGACUUUUCAUUAGUGUAAAAAGCUUUUAGAAUAAGAGCUGGGCAAGACCGGUGCCAGCCGCCGCGGUAACACCGGCAGCUCGAGUGGUAGCUGUUUUUAGUGGGCCUAAAGCGUUCGUAGCCGG